GACGAACGCUGGCGGCGUGCUUAACACAUGCAAGUCGAACGGUGAAGCGCCUUCCUUUUUGGUGGGUGUGGAUGAGUGGCGAACGGGUGAGUAACACGUGAGUAGCCUGCCCCCUUCUUCUGGAUAACCGCAUGAAAGUGUGGCUAAUACGGGAUAUUCUGGGUCUGUCGCAUGAUGGGUCUGGGAAAGAUAUUGUUUCGGUGGGGGAUGGGCUCGCGGCCUAUCAGCUUGUUGGUGGGGUGAUGGCCUACCAAGGCGGUGACGGGUAGCCGGCCUGAGAGGGUGGACGGUCACACUGGGACUGAGACACGGCCCAGACGCCUACGGGAGGCAGCAGUGGGGAAUAUUGCACAAUGGGCGCAAGCCUGAUGCAGCGACGCCGCGUGAGGGAUGGAGGCCUUCGGGUUGUGAACCUCUUUCGCCAGUGAAGCAGGCCUGCCUCGUUUGUGGGUGGGUUGACGGUAGCUGGAUAAGAAGCGCCGGCUAACUACGUG
rnacentral:rRNA from 1 species